rnacentral:rRNA from 1 species
CUGCUCAGAACGAACGCUGGCGGCAGGCUUAACACAUGCAAGUCGAGCGCCCCGCAAGGGGAGCGGCAGACGGGUGAGUAACGCGUGGGAAUCUACCCUUUUCUACGGAAUAACGCAGGGAAACUUGUGCUAAUACCGUAUGUGUCCUUCGGGAGAAAGAUUUAUCGGGAAAGGAUGAGCCCGCGUUGGAUUAGCUAGUUGGUGGGGUAAAGGCCUACCAAGGCGACGAUCCAUAGCUGGUCUGAGAGGAUGAUCAGCCACAUUGGGACUGAGACACGGCCCAAACUCCUACGGGAGGCAGCAGUGGGGAAUAUUGGACAAUGGGCGCAAGCCUGAUCCAGCCAUGCCGCGUGAGUGAUGAAGGCCCUAGGGUUGUAAAGCUCUUUCACCGGAGAAGAUAAUGACG